UUGUUUAUGGUGUAAAGAUCACGCUAGUUUUUCGUGCUAGAGAUGCAGUUUUCUGUUAAAUAAU
rnacentral:tRNA from 1 species